rnacentral:rRNA from 1 species
AACGAACGCUGGCGGCAUGCCUAACACAUGCAAGUCGAACGAGACCUUCGGGCUUAGCGGCGGACGGGUGCGUAACGCGUGGGAACCUGCCCUUAUGUACGGAAUAACCCUCUGAAAGGGGUGGUAAUACCGUAUAAGCUCUUCGGGGCAAAGAUUUAUCGCGUUUGGAUGGGCCCGCGUUGGAUUAGGUAGUUGGUAGGGUAAUAGCCUACCAAGGCGACGAUCCAUAGCUGGUCUGAGAGGAUGAUCAGCCACACUGGGACUGAGACACGGCCCAGACUCCUACGGGAGGCAGCAGUGGGGAAUAUUGGACAAUGGGGGAAAGCCUGAUCCAGCCAUGCCGCGUGAGUGAUGAAGGCCUUAGGGUUGUAAAGCUCUUUUACCCGGGAUGAUAAUGACGGUACCGGGAGAAGAAGCUCCGGCUAACUCCGUG